AGAGUUUGAUUCUGGCUCAGAAUGAACGCUGGCGGCGUGGAUAAGACAUGCAAGUCGAACGAGAAAACUGAUUAGUUUACUAAGAUGUUUUCUAGUGGCGGACGGGUUAGUAACACGUGAGCAACUUGCCUCGAAGCGGGGGAUAGCCUUCCGAAAGGGAGAUUAAUACCGCAUGUGGCCCCCUUUUAUUAGGGUGGUUAAAGGUGCCUUCGGGUAUCGCUUCGAGAUGGGCUCGCGGCCUAUCAGCUUGUUGGUGAGGUAAUGGCUCACCAAGGCUACGACGGGUAGCUGGUCUGAGAGGACGAUCAGCAACACUGGAACUGAGACACGGUCCAGACACCUACGGGUGGCAGCAGUCGAGAAUCAUUCACAAUGGGGGCAACCCUGAUGGUGCAACGCCGCGUGGAGGAUGAAGGCCCUAGGGUCGUAAACUCCUGUCAUAUGAGAGUAAGGCAUAUGUGUUAAUACCAUGUAUGUUUGAUAGUAUCAUAAGAGGAAGGGACGGCUAACUUCGUGCCAGCAGCCGCGGUAAUACGAAGGUCCCGAGCGUUAUUCGGAAUCACUGGGCGUAAAGAGUACGUAGGCGGUUUGGUAAGUCAGGUGUGAAAUCCCGGAGCUCAACUCCGGAACUGCAUCCGAUACUGCCAGACUUGAGUAAUGGAGAGGCAGGUGGAAUUCUCGGUGUAGCAGUGAAAUGCGUGGAUAUCGAGAGGAAGACCAAUGGCGAAGGCAGCCUGCUGGACAUUUACUGACGCUGAGGUACGAAGGCCAGGGUAGCGAAAGGGAUUAGAUACCCCUGUAGUCCUGGCAGUAAACGGUGCGCGCUUGGUGUAGGAGGACUCGACCCCUUCUGUGCCGGAGCUAACGCGUUAAGCGCGCCGCCUGGGGAGUACGGUCGCAAGACUAAAACUCAAAGAAAUUGACGGGGACCCGCACAAGCGGUGGAGUAUGUGGCUU
rnacentral:rRNA from 1 species